AUUGCUUCUCUGCCUUUUGGUUAAGACCAAGUGUAGUAUCUGUUCUUAUCAGUUUAAUAUCUGAUACACCCCCCUUGUGGGGAAGUCAUGGCCUAAUGGUUAGAGAGUCUGACUUGCAAUCCAAAGGUUGUGAGUUCGAGUCUGGCGCCGGCAGGAAUUGUAGGUGGGGGGAGUGAAUGUACAGCACUCUCUCCACCCUCAAUACCAC
rnacentral:snRNA from 12 species